rnacentral:rRNA from 1 species
UACGUAGGGUGCGAGCGUUGUCCGGAAUUACUGGGCGUAAAGAGCUCGUAGGUGGUUUGUCGCGUUGUUCGUGAAAACUCACAGCUUAACUGUGGGCGUGCGGGCGAUACGGGCAGACUGGAGUACUGCAGGGGAGACUGGAAUUCCUGGUGUAGCGGUGGAAUGCGCAGAUAUCAGGAGGAACACCGGUGGCGAAGGCGGGUCUCUGGGGCAGUAACUGACGCUGAGGAGCGAAAGCGUGGGGAGCGAACAGG